rnacentral:rRNA from 1 species
UACGUAGGGUGCAAGCGUUGUCCGGAAUUAUUGGGCGUAAAGAGCUCGUAGGCGGUUUGUCGCGUCGAAUGUGAAAACCCGGGGCUCAACCCCGGGCCUGCAUUCGAUACGGGCAGACUAGAGUUCGGUAGGGGAGUCUGGAAUUCCUGGUGUAGCGGUGAAAUGCGCAGAUAUCAGGAGGAACACCGGUGGCGAAGGCGGCUCACUGGACCGGAACUGACGCUGAGGCGCGAAAGCGUGGGGAGCAAACAGG